UACGCAGGGUGCGAGCGUUGUCCGGAAUUAUUGGGCGUAAAGAGCUUGUAGGCGGUCUGUCGCGUCUGCUGUGAAAAUCCGGGGCUCAACCCCGGACUUGCAGUGGGUACGGGCAGACUAGAGUGUGGUAGGGGAGACUGGAAUUCCUGGUGUAGCGGUGAAAUGCGCAGAUAUUAGGAGGAACACCGGUGGCGAAGGCGGCGAUCUGGACGAUGACUGACGCUGAGACGCGAAAGCGUGGGGAGCAAACAGG
rnacentral:rRNA from 1 species